UACGUAGGGGGCUAGCGUUGUCCGGAUUUAUUGGGCGUAAAGAGCUCGUAGGCGGUGUGUCGCGUCGGCCGUGAAAACUGUGGCUUAACUAUGGGCUUGCGGUCGAUACGGGCAUCACUGGAGUUCGGCAGGGGAGACUGGAAUUCCUGGUGUAGCGGUGAAAUGCGCAGAUAUCAGGAGGAACACCGGUGGCGAAGGCGGGUCUCUGGGCCGAUACUGACGCUGAGACGCGAAAGCGUGGGGAGCAAACAGG
rnacentral:rRNA from 1 species